UACGUAGGGUGCUAGCGUUGUCCGGAUUUAUUGGGCGUAAAGGGCUCGUAGGCGGCGUGUCGCGUCUGCUGUGAAAACCCGAGGCUCAACCUCGGGCCUGCAGUGGGUACGGGCAGACUAGAGUGCGGUAGGGGAGAAUGGAACUCCUGGUGUAGCGGUGGAAUGCGCAGAUAUCAGGAAGAACACCGAUGGCGAAGGCAGUUCUCUGGGCCGUAACUGACGCUGAGGAGCGAAAGCGUGGGGAGCGAACAGG
rnacentral:rRNA from 1 species